rnacentral:rRNA from 1 species
CAGCCGCCGCGGUAAUACGGAGGGUGCAAGCGUUAAUCGGAAUUACUGGGCGUAAAGCGCACGCAGGCGGUCUGUUAAGUCAGAUGUGAAAUCCCCGGGCUCAACCCGGGAACUGCAUUUGAAACUGGCAGGCUUGAGUCUUGUAGAGGGGGGUAGAAUUCCAGGUGUAGCGGUGAAAUGCGUAGAGAUCUGGAGGAAUACCGGUGGCGAAGGCGGCCCCCUGGACAAAGACUGACGCUCAGGUGCGAAAGCGUGGGGAGCAAACAGGAUUAGAGACCCGUGUAGUCCCUGUCUCUUAUAC